rnacentral:rRNA from 1 species
GAUGAACGCUGGCGGCGUGCCUAAUACAUGCAAGUCGAGCGAACAGACGAGGAGCUUGCUCCUCUGACGUUAGCGGCGGACGGGUGAGUAACACGUGGAUAACCUACCUAUAAGACUGGGAUAACUUCGGGAAACCGGAGCUAAUACCGGAUAAUAUAUUGAACCGCAUGGUUCAAUAGUGAAAGACGGUUGUGCUGGCACUUAUAGAUGGAUCCGCGCCGCAUUAGCUGGUUGGUAAGGUAACGGCUUACCAAGGCAACGAUGCGUAGCCGACCUGUGAGGGUGGUCGGCCACACUGGAACUGAGACACGGUCCAGACUCCUACGGGAGGCAGCAGUAGGGAAUCUUCCGCAAUGGGCGAAAGCUUGGCGGAGCAACGCCGAGUGAGUGAUGAAGGUCUUCGGAUCGUAAAACUCUGUUAUUAGGGAAGAACAAAUGUGUAAGUAACUAUGCACGUCGUGACGGUACCUAAUCAGAAAGCCACGGCUAACUACGUG